rnacentral:rRNA from 1 species
AGUUGCGGCCAAACCUCAUUGUCAAAGCCUGAUUUCGUCAAAACGGGAGAAGCUAAGCAGGGCUGGGCCUGGUUAGGACUUGGAUGGGAGACCGCAGGGACCAGGUGCCACAGUGG